rnacentral:rRNA from 1 species
UACGAAGGGGGCUAGCGUUGUUCGGAUUUACUGGGCGUAAAGGGCGCGUAGGCGGCCCGCUAAGUCGAACGUGAAAUCCCCGAGCUCAACUCGGGAACUGCGUCCGAUACUGGCGGGCUUGAAUCCGGGAGAGGGAUGCGGAAUUCCAGGUGUAGCGGUGAAAUGCGUAGAUAUCUGGAGGAACACCGGUGGCGAAGGCGGCAUCCUGGACCGGCAUUGACGCUGAGGAGCGAAAGCCAGGGGAGCAAACGGG